rnacentral:tRNA from 1 species
ACCAAAGGAUAAUAGUAU